GCGAUCUUCCUCGCCAGAGCUCUGAAUCCUUGGAGUAUUUCCUCGUGCCAUGCAGAUUCAUCUCAAAUAGAUUCUUUUCAAGUAUCCUCCUAGGAAGAGCUUUGCUGCAAAUGACAUGUUUGGUUUCGAUCUGUUCAGACCAGGCAAAGCUGGAUUGAGGAAAUCAAUCAACAGCAAGCAGAAGUACUAGAUGCCCAACUGACAGUUGAGCAGCUUCAACAACAAUAUCAGUUGCUCAUGGCCCAAAAUGAGAUGUUGAAGUUGGUUGCAGUAUGCUGAGCGGAUUCCUAUUGGGUUGGAAAAGGUGAUUCGAACAGUUUCUUCUGAAAUGGUCAAGCAAUUUUAUAAUAUAUGGUACCAUUUACACAAUAUGGCUGUGGUCGCUGUUGGAGAUUUUACUGAUACACAGGCUUGAAUUGGUCAGAUUCAGAUUUCCCUCUUAAAAUGAUAAAUACUUUUUUAAUUCUCAGCUUUGUGAUAUGUCUUUCUAAGCAGUCCAGUUGUUUUCUUGCAGUGUAGUUGAAUUGAUAAGGACUCACUUUGGGGGAAAAGUUUCAAUCUCCACCCCGCCACUUAUACCAGAAUUUCCUGUUCCAUCUCAUGGUGAACCACGCUUUUCAUGUUUGGUUGAAUCUGAAGCUGGUGGGGUACAAAUUGAAAGAUCCAUUGAUUUAAGAUCCUACUGACUAUUUGUUCAAGCUCUUGCGUAUUGGAGAUUCUGGUGUUGGCAACUCACGUCUUCUUUUGAGAUUUGUGGUAAGAUAGGAUCCACAGCAAAAUGGGUGAAGGUUAGUUUCUGCAACUAACAUAAUCUGAAAACCUCCCCUUGUCUACUUGCAUGGUACUUUCAGCAGUGUGUGCCUUUAGAAGCACAGCUUGUAACCAGUUUGGCUGCCUGAUUGGUAGUUCCAAAUGCAAGAUCAUGCAUCUGGAGAAUGCUGUGCCCCCAAGUUGGUGAGUUGGCCAAAAAUGUUUCAAAAAUGAUUGAUUCUCAUUUUGCAGAGAAGAUUGAUAUGUCAGAAGUGCAGGUAAUUAACCAUCUCAUAAUGGGAGGAUUGCCACCUCAUGUUGGUUUGCACAAGUUCUUCAAUUCAUGUGCAUGAAAUUUCUAUGUAAUUCUGCAGGAUAAGUUCUUAGUGGUGAUUACAAAAGCAUUGAUUCCAUAAGUACAUGGUCUAUAAACUAAAUUUGAUACUGAAAUG